rnacentral:rRNA from 1 species
UACGUAGGGUGCGAGCGUUAAUCGGAAUUACUGGGCGUAAAGCGUGCGCAGGCGGUUUUGUAAGCCAGAUGUGAAAGCCCCGGGCUCAACCUGGGAAUGGCAUUUGGGACUGCAAGGCUUGAGUGUGGCAGAGGAGACUGGAAUUCCUGGUGUAGCAGUGAAAUGCGUAGAUAUCAGGAGGAAUACCGAUGGCGAAGGCAGGCCUCUGGGCUAACACUGACGCUCAUGCACGAAAGCGUGGGGAGCAAACAGG